UGUGGUGAUGAUGGCAAGAAGGACCCACCUGUUCCCAUACCGAACACAGAAGUUAAGCUUCUUAGCGCCGAGGAUAGUGACGGGUUUCCCGUUGUGAAAGCCGGACGUUGCCAUGC
rnacentral:rRNA from 1 species